CGCAGCACAUGUCUGAUCAUCCUCCGUUAAGGGUGCAUGUGACUAAGACUUUUAAAAAAAAUAUGAUGCUACAGCUUUACUAAAGAAUAUAAGUCUAAGAUUUGUUCUUCAUUGGUGUAAUGGCUUCACAUAAUUUAAGUUUGAAAAAUUAGGCAUCGUGAAAGUUCAGGUUUUCUGCAGGAAUAGUUGAGGCCUAGAUUAUCGACUUGGCUUGAUGUUACAGAGGGAACACCCGACUUGGGCGUGACCUCCUACUGGACCGACGCCGAAGGGAACGUUGUGUUUGGCCCAAACACUCCAAAGGACAAGUUGAAAACUUCUGUCGUUGGAGCAAAAACUCAGAAGCGGAAGGAUUCCGUUUCUAAGAAAGUUUCUGUGGAGAACCAAGUGUUGGAUCCUCCAAAGAUGGAGUCAAAAAUGCCAGAAGAUAACAAAGUUCUGAGUGACCCAUCGGUGAUCGCAGACACGUCUGAGAAGCCGACAGAUCCUGCAGAGUCUGAACAAGAACCCGAGACACAAACUGCAAUCACUGAAUGAGCACAGUAAUGAUAUACAGUAUUUGAUUUGCACUUAUUAUAAAUAGAUACACUAAUAUAUUUGCAUGCCUCCUUUACAAUAAGACCACUCUUUUGUACACUACUGAACUUUUAAUGAUGUGCAGUAAUUGGAAAAUAACAGUUGUUGGGUUCAGUUUUUUUUUUCAUUUCAAUAAAGUGCAUUUGAAUGAGGAAAACGUGAGGUUACUGUGCCAGAAUGAUUACAAUUCACGGUCAUAGAAAAUACUAAGACAAUGUUUGUCUUCUACUGUGACCGUUUUGGUCCAGUUGUUCCACUUCGAGUAUGGAGCCUAUUCAGAGAGAGAAAACAGGAGCUCGGUUCUAAUGGAAACUAACUGAGACCACCUCAAAAGACGGGUCCGAGAGCAGUUCUUGGUCC